rnacentral:rRNA from 1 species
UACAGAGGUCUCAAGCGUUGUUCGGAUUCAUUGGGCGUAAAGGGUGCGUAGGCGGCGCGGUAAGUCGGGUGUGAAAUCUCGGAGCUUAACUCCGAAACUGCAUUCGAUACUGCCGUGCUUGAGGACUGGAGAGGAGACUGGAAUUUACGGUGUAGCGGUGAAAUGCGUAGAUAUCGUAAGGAAGACCAGUGGCGAAGGCGGGUCUCUGGACAGUUCCUGACGCUGAGACACGAAAGUCAGGGGAGCAAACAGG